rnacentral:rRNA from 1 species
UACGAGGGGGGCGAGCGUUGUUCGGAAUUAUUGGGCGUAAAGGGUGCGUAGGUGGCCUGGCAAGCGUGCGGUGAAAGCUCGGGGCUCAACCCCGAGUCGGCCGUGCGAACUGCUGGGCUCGAGCACUGUAGAGGCAGGCGGAAUUCCGGGUGUAGCGGUGGAAUGCGUAGAGAUCCGGAAGAACACCGGUGGCGAAGGCGGCCUGCUGGGCAGUGGCUGACACUGAGGCGCGACAGCGUGGGGAGCAAACAGG